rnacentral:rRNA from 1 species
GACGAACGCUGGCGGCGUGCUUAACACAUGCAAGUCGAACGGAAAGGCCCUGCUUUUGUGGGGUGCUCGAGUGGCGAACGGGUGAGUAACACGUGAGUAACCUGCCCUUGACUUUGGGAUAACUUCAGGAAACUGGGGCUAAUACCGGAUAGGAGCUCCUGCUGCAUGGUGGGGGUUGGAAAGUUUCGGCGGUUGGGGAUGGACUCGCAGCUUAUCAGCUUGUUGGUGGGGUAGUGGCUUACCAAGGCUUUGACGGGUAGCCGGCCUGAGAGGGUGACCGGCCACAUUGGGACUGAGAUACGGCCCAGACUCCUACGGGAGGCAGCAGUGGGGAAUAUUGCACAAUGGGCGGAAGCCUGAUGCAGCAACGCCGCGUGCGGGAUGACGGCCCUCGGGUUGUAAACCGCUUUCGCCUGUGACGAAGCGUGAGUGACGGUAAUGGGUAAAGAAGCACCGGCUAACUACGUG